CUCGCAGUUCGGACUGGUUCUUUAAAACUCCUUUACCAACCAUCAUUGGCUCUCCUACUAAGACCACGGCUCCUUUCAAAAUACCUAAAACGCAAGCAUCUUCCAACCUGCUAGCCUUGGUGACUCGCCACGGGCCCUCUGAAGGGCAGACUAAGGAUGGGAGUGACCCACGGGAGUGCCCUCAUUGUCUCCUGGCUCAAGGCGGCGAGAGGCAGAAGCCUGAGCAGCAGAACAAAACGGUGUUUGGCAGAUCUGUCAGUGCUGGGAAAUUAUCAGACCAACAAGCGAAGAUACCUUUAGGUGGACAUCAGGGCAGCAUGGACAGUUUAAAUACAGAACGACCAAUGG